rnacentral:tRNA from 1 species
CGGAAUAUAAUAUAAUAGGUAGUAUUUUUGUUUUGGGAACAAACAGUCAUAGGUUCAAAUCCUAUUAUUCCGA